rnacentral:rRNA from 1 species
AGUGAACGCUGGCGGUAGGCCUAACACAUGCGAGUCGAACGGCAGCACAGUAAGAGCUUGCUCUUACGGGUGGCGAGUGGCGGACGGGUGAGGAAUACAUCGGAAUCUACUUUUUCGUGGGGGAUAACGUAGGGAAACUUACGCUAAUACCGCAUACGACCUACGGGUGAAAGCAGGGGAUCUUCGGACCUUGCGCGAUUGAAUGAGCCGAUGUCGGAUUAGCUAGUUGGCGGGGUAAAGGCCCACCAAGGCGACGAUCCGUAGCUGGUCUGAGAGGAUGAUCAGCCACACUGGAACUGAGACACGGUCCAGACUCCUACGGGAGGCAGCAGUGGGGAAUAUUGGACAAUGGGCGCAAGCCUGAUCCAGCCAUACCGCGUGGGUGAAGAAGGCCUUCGGGUUGUAAAGCCCUUUUGUUGGGAAAGAAGAGCAGCAGGUUAAUACCCCGCUGUUCUGACGGUACCCAAAGAAUAAGCACCGGCUAACUUCGUG